rnacentral:lncRNA from 1 species
ACCUGCUUGGAGCUCCCCCCGCCAUCACCACACAAUUCCUUGCAGGGUUGGAUUGUUACCAUCACAAGCAAUACUGUAACAAC